rnacentral:rRNA from 1 species
CCUACGGGGGGCUGCAGUGGGGAAUAUUGCGCAAUGGCCGAAAGGCUGACGCAGCGACGCCGCGUGGGGGAUGAAGCAUUUCGGUGUGUAAACCCCUGUUGCUCGGGACGAACAACUGGAUUUUUCCAGUCUGACGGUACCGGGUGAGGAAGCACCGGCUAACUCCGUGCCAGCAGCCGCGGUAAUACGGAGGGUGCGAGCGUUGUCCGGAAUCACUGGGCGUAAAGGGCGCGUAGGUGGUCUGCUAAGCGUGCGGUGAAAGCCCGGGGCUCAACCCCGGGUCUGCCGUGCGAACUGGUGGACUAGAGCACUGUAGAGGCAGGUGGAAUUCCGGGUGUAGCGGUGGAAUGCGUAGAGAUCCGGAAGAACACCGGUGGCGAAGGCGGCCUGCUGGGCAGUUGCUGACACUGAGGCGCGAAAGCGUGGGGAGCAAACAGGAUUAGAUACCCUUGUAGUC